rnacentral:rRNA from 1 species
UACGUAGGGGGCAAGCGUUGUCCGGAAUUAUUGGGCGUAAAGAGCUCGUAGGCGGUUUGUCGCGUCGAAUGUGAAAACCCGGGGCUCAACCCCGGGCCUGCAUUCGAUACGGGCAGACUAGAGUUCGGUAGGGGAGUCUGGAAUUCCUGGUGUAGCGGUGAAAUGCGCAGAUAUCAGGAGGAACACCGGUGGCGAAGGCGGGACUCUGGGCCGAUACUGACGCUGAGGAGCGAAAGCGUGGGAGCAAACAGG